rnacentral:rRNA from 1 species
UACGUAGGGGCUAGCGUUAUCCGGAAUUACUGGGCGUAAAGGGUGCGUAGGUGGUUUCUUAAGUCAGAGGUGAAAGGCUACGGCUCAACCGUAGUAAGCCUUUGAAACUGGGAAACUUGAGUGCAGGAGAGGAGAGUGGAAUUCCUAGUGUAGCGGUGAAAUGCGUAGAUAUUAGGAGGAACACCAGUAGCGAAGGCGGCUCUCUGGACUGUAACUGACACUGAGGUACGAAAGCGUGGGGAGCAAACAGGAUUAGAUACCCCUGUAGUCCCUGAGCGGG